CCUGGCGCUGCCAGCCGGAGCGAGCUGACCUGGAUGGAGCAAAGGGCCGGAAGCUGGGAAGGGCUAGGGGACACCUUGGCCUUGGCAGAGCGGGAUGCGAGCGCCGAGAGGGUGCCAAGAGGAAGGUGUAGGGACGCCGAGACCCCCGGGAGGUGCCUGGGAAGCCCGCAGAGAGGAGCCCUCUCACCCCUCCCGAGCGUUUCAUCGGCCUACAAGGUUGUUGCAGACUUGGUCUUCCUUACCAGCCGCUGAGCACGCAGGCGUUGGGGACACUCUGCCUGGGGCUCAGAUUCCAGCGCUGCCACUCCAGGAGGGUGAUAAAGUGCAGUCCACAACCUUUCUGCGCCCCAGUCUGUCAUUAUCUAUAAAGCAAGCUUAAUAUCAAGACCCCCCCCCUUAGAGGGUAUUUAUGACGUAGUCUCACGUAUCCCAUAUUGAUCUGGACUUCACUAUGUAGCUGAGAAAUGACCUUGAACUUCUGAUCCUUUUCCUCCACUUCCCAAAAUGUGAGAAAACAGAAAAAAAUCACGUUAUUCAUGCUGGUCUCAAACUUGGUAUGCAUCCAGAGAUAGCCUGGAACUCUCUUUCAGAGGACCUACCCAUCUUGACAAACUGGUCUCCACAAAUGCCUUCAAACACCUUCCAGAAAC
rnacentral:lncRNA from 1 species